CUUUGGUUCGGAAUAACAAGAGGAAACUUUUGCUAAUACCGGAUAAGUCUUUACGGAGAAAGCUUUAUGCGCCAUUGGAUGAGCCUGCACUUGAUUAGUUAGUUGGUGGGGUAAAGGCCUACCAAGACAAUGAUCAAUAGCUGAUUUGAGAGGAUGAUCAGCCACAUUGGGACUGAGACACGGCCCAAACUCCUACGGGAGGCAGCAGUAGGGAAUCUUGCACAAUGGGGGAAACCCUGAUGCAGCGAUGCCGCGUGAGUGAAGAAGGCCUUUGGGUUGUAAAGCUCUUUCGUCGGGGAAGAAAAUGACUGUACCCGAAUAAGAAGGUCCGGCUAACUUCGUGCCAGCAGCCGCGGUAAUACGAAGGGACCUAGCGUAGUUCGGAAUUACUGGGCUUAAAGAGUUCGUAGGUGGUUAAAAAAGUUGGUGGUGAAAUCCCAGAGCUUAACUCUGGAACUGCCAUCAAAACUUUUUAGCUAGAGUAUGAUAGAGGAAAGCAGAAUUUCUAGUGUAGAGGUGAAAUUCGUAGAUAUUAGAAAGAAUACCGAUUGCGAAGGCAGCUUUCUGGAUCAUUACUGACACUGAGGAACGAAAGCAUGGGUAGCGAAGA
rnacentral:rRNA from 1 species